GUGAUGUAUGUGAAUGUCGCGAUGUCGCCGCUGGAGGUGAUGGUGAGGAUUCCAGGCGCUUGGACAUCGAACUGGAAGAGUAUAGGCUGCUGAACGAGAACCUGUAAGGCGAAGCUUGUACACCGGAUCGUGAAAAGCAACGCAAAAGUUACAAUGGCUACAGCAGCUCCUCCAGAGGCACUAACCUGGAGUAAUUCUGGUACUUCAGAAAGCCGAACAGUUGCUGAGUCUUGUUCGAGUCUACCGUCAAGCUUCCCAGGAC